UACUAUAUAAUUUAAUUAAUAAAAUAUUAAUCUUGUAAAUUAAAAAUAAAUCAGUUGAUUUUAUAGUAA
rnacentral:tRNA from 1 species